GAGUUUGAUCAUGGCUCAGAACGAACGCUGGCGGCGUGCUUAACACAUGCAAGUCGAACGAGAAAGCACCUUCGGGUGUGAGUAGAGUGGCGCACGGGUGAGUAACACGUAGGUAACCUGCCUUACAGUGGGGGAUAACCAGAAGAAAUUCUGGCUAAUACCGCAUACGAAAGUAAUUUGAAAGGAUGCUUCGGCAUUCGCUGUUAGAUGGGCCUGCGCUACAUUAGCUUGUUGGUGGGGUAAUGGCCUACCAAGGCGACGAUGUAUAACUGGUCUGAGAGGAUGAUCAGUCACACUGGAACUGAGACACGGUCCAGACUCCUACGGGAGGCAGCAGUGGGGAAUAUUGCGCAAUGGGGGAAACCCUGACGCAGCAACGCCGCGUGAGUGAGGAAGGCCCUCGGGUCGUAAAGCUCUGUCAGAUAAGAAGAACGGUACAUGGUCUAAUAGGCCUUGUAUUUGACGGUACUAUCAAAGGAAGCACCGGCUAACUUCGUGCCAGCAGCCGCGGUAA
rnacentral:rRNA from 1 species